UACGGAGGGUGCAAGCGUUAUCCGGAUUCACUGGGUUUAAAGGGAGCGUAGGUGGGUCUGUAAGUCCGUGGUGAAAUCUCCGAGCUUAACUUGGAAACUGCCAUGGAUACUAUAGGUCUUGAAUAUUGUGGAGGUCAGCGGAAUAUGUCAUGUAGCGGUGAAAUGCUUAGAGAUGACAUAGAACACCAAUUGCGAAGGCAGCUGGCUACGCAUAUAUUGACACUGAGGCGCGAAAGCGUGGGGAGCAAACAGG
rnacentral:rRNA from 1 species